UACGGGGGGAGCAAGCGUUGUUCGGAUUUACUGGGCGUAAAGGGCGCGUAGGCGGUCAGUGCAAGUCAGUUGUGAAAUCUCUGGGCUUAACCCAGAACGGUCAACUGAUACUGCUCGACUAGAGUACAGAAGGGGCAACUGGAAUUCUCGGUGUAGCGGUGAAAUGCGUAGAUAUCGAGAGGAACACCUGCGGCGAAGGCGGGUUGCUGGGCUGAUACUGACGCUGAGGCGCGAAAGCUAGGGGAGCGAACGGG
rnacentral:rRNA from 1 species